ACAGUGGACGCGAGCAUCUUUGUUGUAAGUGUUUAAGAGCGUACGGUGGAUGCCUUGGCACCAGGACCGAUGAAGGACGUAGGAGGCUGCGAUAAGCCUCGGGGAGCUGUCAACCGAGCUGAGAUCCGAGGAUGUCCGAAUGGGAAACCCAGCCACAGUGAUGUGUGGUUACCGCCGCCUGAAUAUAUAGGGCGUGAGGAGGGAACGUGGGGAAGUGAAACAUCUCAGUACCCACAGGAAGAGAAAACAACAUGUGAUUCCGUGAGUAGUGGCGAGCGAAAGCGGAAGAGGCUAAACCAUGGGUGUGUGAUAGCCGGCGGGCGUUGCAUUCGUGGGGUUGUGGGAUCCGUCUUGUCAAUUCUGCCGGAUUGGCCGACAGUGAGAAAUCAUCGUGUUAGUCGAAGUGGUCUGGAACGGCCUGUCGUAGAGGGUGAGAGCCCCGUAGACGAAAACAUGGUGACUGUCGUGACGGACACCCGAGUAGCAGCGGGCCCGUGAAAUCUGCUGUGAAUCUGUCGGGACCACCCGAUAAGCCUGAAUACUCCCUGGUGACCGAUAGCGGACUAGUACCGUGAGGGAAAGGUGAAAAGUACCCCGGGAGGGGAGUGAAAUAGUACCUGAAACCGUGCGCUUACAAUCCGUCAGAGCCUGCGCCACUUCGGUGGGUGGGUGAUGGCGUGCCUUUUGAAGAAUGAGCCUGCGAGUUAGCGGCAUGUCGCGAGGUUAACCCGUGUGGGGUAGCCGUAGCGAAAGCGAGUCCGAAUAGGGCGUUUGUAGUGGCAUGUUUCUAGACCCGAAGCGGAGUGAUCUACCCAUGGCCAGGUGAAGCGACGGUAAGACGUCGUGGAGGCCCGAAACCCACUUAGGUUGAAAAACUGAGGGGAUGAGCUGUGGGUAGGGGUGAAAGGCCAAUCAAACUCCGUGAUAGCUGGUUCUCCCCGAAAUGCAUUUAGGUGCAGCGUCGCGUGUUUCACUCUGGAGGUAGAGCUACUGGAUGGCCGAUGGCCCCACAAGGUUACUGACGUCAGCCAAACUCCGAAUGCCAGAGUGUGAGAGCGCGGCAGUGAGACUGCGGGGGAUAGCUUCGUAGUCGAGAGGGAAACAGCCCAGAUCGCCGGCUAAGGCCCCUAAGCGUGUACUAAGUGGAAAAGGAUGUGGGGUCGCGAAGACAACCAGGAGGUUGGCUUAGAAGCAGCCACCCUUGAAAGAGUGCGUAAUAGCUCACUGGUCAAGUGAUCCUGCGCCGACAAUGUAGCGGGGCUCAAGUACACCGCCGAAGCCGCGGCAUUCACAUAACACCCAUGCGGGUCUACGGGCCUGUGUGCAGUGGUGUGGAUGGGUAGGGGAGCGUCGUGCAGCCAUGGAAGCGCCGGAGUGAUCCAGGUGUGGAGGCUGCACGAGUGAGAAUGCAGGCAUGAGUAGCGAAAGACGAGUGAGAAACUCGUCCGCCGAAUGACCAAGGGUUCCUGGGCCAGGUUAAUCCGCCCAGGUGAGUCGGGACCUAAGGCGAGGCCGACAGGCGUAGUCGAUGACAACGGGUUGAUAUUCCCGUACCCGUGUGAACGCGCCCCUGGUGAAUCAGUGAUGCUAAGCGCCCUGAAGCCGCCUUCGAACCUUCGGGUUCUCCGGUGUGUGGAUGCGCGUGAACCGAUCUGGUAGUAGCCAAGCGAUGGGGUGACGCAGGAAGGUAGCUGAGCCAGUCAGUGGUAAUACUGGUGUAAGCGUGUAGGGCGUGACCUAGGCAAAUCCGGGUCACAUACAGCC
rnacentral:rRNA from 1 species